rnacentral:tRNA from 1 species
GGGAGGUUAGCUCAGCGGUAGAGCAUUGCACUCACACUGCAAGGGCCACUGGUUCGACCCCAGUACCUCCCACCA